UAUCAUAAUGAAACACCGGUUCACGUUCGAUCACCGAAGUUAAGCAACGUCGAACAUAGUCAGUACCUAGAUGGGUGACCGCUUGAGAAUAUCAGCUGCUGUAAG